GCCCUCGAUGGCUCAGUCGGAACAGAGUGUCUGCCAUGUAAGUAGGAGAUUCCGGGUUCGAGUCCCGGUCGGGGCA